UUAUGGGCCAAAAUACUUUUUGAUGCCUAAAAACUGGUCCCUCCGAAAGAAUAAUUAAUUUUAUGGGAUAUCAGUACAAAAUUGCGCAAAAAGUAUACUUAUAUCGAAAUAUAACAUUAUUUUCUAACGCAGAAAACAAGAUUUGACCGGGAAAAUAUGUUAUUUAUCCUAAAAUUGCAGUAACAACGUUGUAAUUUUUGGUAACGCAGUCGUUCUUAGUACAAAAUAUUGCUGUCCUUGAGCACUGUGCCAAGAUGUACUUAGCUAUUUCUCAGAAUAUUUCCUAGGUGGCGUUGAAUCUUAAAUGUCCCUACGAAAAUGUAACAUUUGAACCUUAUUACAACGCCAGUAGAUAUUUUUUACAUUAAAUAUUUCAUGGAAUAAAAAAAUAUUUUGUCUGUGUCCCCAACAAAGAACAAAAUCGUAACUACCUUGCGUUGCUAUAUAAAAAUAAACCUUAAAGAUGGUUUGUUACAUUUUAUUUCACUUCAUUUGGUUCGACUUAUUGUAACUAUUAGAAUGAAUGAUAGCAACUGCGCGGGGGGAGACCGCUAGUCGGAUCAGUCGCGACGCAGUCGUUGAGAGAGGUGCGUGCGUUUAUUGCGUGGCCGCUGAGUUACCGCUGUCGAAAGAAAGAAGCUUCUGCACUAAAUGGCGUUAACGAACGCAGAAAAGCAACACUUGUAAAAGAUAUGACAGAGCGUGAACACAGAAAUAUCAAGCGUAAAUGGAAGACUGCGAACAAGAAACGACGAGAACGUCAAAAGUGUGCUCAACAAAUUAUGAACAUUGCACCAUCGUCCAGCCCACGGCCAGGAACUCCAGUUUCACCGAGAUCUAGAGGCCGAAGACAAUUACGAAGAGAUCGCUCUGCAGUUUACAGAAAAAAUCUGAAAAUUCAGGAAGAACUCGAAAAGAUGAAACGGCUGUGCGAUAAAUACAAAAAGAGAUACCAACGAGCUAAAUCCGCAAUCAAUGACAAGAAAAAAGUAAAUAAGCUUAACCAAAACAAGUAUUCAACGUUAUCUAAUGCAAUCAAAGACCAUUACAAAAGUUUGAAGUCAUUGAGAGAGAAGAAAGCCUUAAAACGAAUUUUCCAAGGAGAAGGCAUAGGAAUCAUUAAGAUUACUGCGUUACCAAAGUGUCAUUUUAAAACAUAAACUUUCCUAUUAAUAACAAAAAACAACUUAUAUUUAAUACCACCUAAUGGCAUAACCUUCCACUUUUGAUCAAUAAUACGUCCGUAAGAGGUUCAGGCAUUUAAGAUCACUAGAAGCCCAUGUAUUACUGAAAUUACUACAAUAAUCAAAGGGACACAAAAGUAACGCAGUAGUAAGCUUAGUAACACAGUAGUAUUUUCUUACAUAGUAAACUAUAUUUUGUACUUACUAUAGAGAUCUGUUAUAAUGAUAAAACAAAACAAAAUUUUACUUCUUAUUAAGUGAUAUAGUAUCAAGUAACUCAAAUAAAUUCAAAAACAACAAACUUAGAAAAUUAAAUACAAAUAAUUCAGUCUUACUUUCGAUAUACGUUAAUUGCUUCAUCGUAAUAAAAAUAUACCCUUUUACCUUUUGCGAUAACUUUAGGGUUAGGGACAAUUUCCAAGAUGUUAUCGUAAGGCUCGUAAGAAAUAUCAGUCUCCACUGCUAUGAAUCUUUUGCCAGUUUUAUCUACCAUCUUGUAAAACAUAAUUUUUACGUCUCCUUCUUCAUCGACUUCACUUUUAGCAACGCCGAGGUAAGUGUAGUGUUUGUCUUUGACAGAAGAUUAUUUUUUUAAUUUUAAUUUUCUAAGUUUGUUGUUUUUGAAUUUAUUUGAGUUACUUGAUACUAUAUCACUUAAUAAGAAGUAAAAUUUUGUUUUGUUUUAUCAUUAUAACAGAUCUCUAUAGUAAGUACAAAGUAUAGUUUACUAUGUAAGAAAAUACUACUGUGUUACUAAGCUUACUACUGCGUUACUUUUGUGUCCCUUUGAUUAUUGUAGUAAUUUCAGUAAUACAUGGGCUUCUAGUGAUCUUAAAUGCCUGAACCUCUUACGGACGUAUUAUUGAUCAAAAGUGGAAGGUUAUGCCAUUAGGUGGUAUUAAAUAUAAGUUGUUUUUUGUUAUUAAUAGGAAAGUUUAUGUUUUAAAAUGGCACUUUGGUAACGCAGUAAUCUUAAUGAUUAAGAAUACUCCAUGAAACUGAUUAUUUCUGUGAUUUAACUUACUAAGAGCUAAAUGUAAGCGUUACAGUUUAAAACUGGCAUAUUGAAAAGUCUGAUUGUGCAAUUUUAAUUAAAAAAGUUAAUUUUGUAAAAAAGUAA